CCUACGGGAGGCUGCAGUGGGGAAUAUUGGACAAUGGGGGGAACCCUGAUCCAGCCAUGCCGCGUGUGUGAAGAAGGCCCUCGGGUUGUAAAGCACUUUCAGUGAGGAAGAACGCCUGGUGGUUAAUACCCAUCAGGAAAGACAUCACUCACAGAAGAAGCACCGGCUAACUCCGUGCCAGCAGCCGCGGUAAUACGGAGGGUGCGAGCGUUAAUCGGAAUUACUGGGCGUAAAGCGCGCGUAGGUGGCUUGAUAAGCCGGUUGUGAAAGCCCCGGGCUCAACCUGGGAACGGCAUCCGGAACUGUCAAGCUAGAGUGCAGGAGAGGAAGGUAGAAUUCCCGGUGUAGCGGUGAAAUGCGUAGAGAUCGGGAGGAAUACCAGUGGCGAAGGCGGCCUUCUGGACUGACACUGACACUGAGGUGCGAAAGCGUGGGUAGCAAACAGGAUUAGGUACCCUUGUAGUC
rnacentral:rRNA from 1 species